UACGGAGGGUGCAAGCGUUAUCCGGAUUCACUGGGUUUAAAGGGUGCGUAGGUGGGCUAGUAAGUCCGUGGUGAAAUCUCCAAGCUUAACUUGGAAACUGCCGUGGAUACUAUUAGUCUUGAAUCUCGUGGAGGUAAGCGGAAUAUGUCAUGUAGCGGUGAAAUGCUUAGAUAUGACCCGGAACACCUAUUGCGAAGGCAGCAGGCUAAACAAAGAUUGACGCUGAGGCUCGAAAGCGUGGGGAUCAAACAGG
rnacentral:rRNA from 1 species